GCUCCGGUAGCCUAGUGGUAGAGCGUCUGCCUUGGAUGCAAAAGAUCGUGAAUUCGAAUCCCGACGGAAUCA